rnacentral:rRNA from 1 species
AUUGAACGCUGGCGGUAUGCCUUACACAUGCAAGUCGAACGGUAGAGGGGCAACCCUUGAGAGUGGCGAACGGGUGAGUAAUACAUCGGAACGUGCCCAGUCGUGGGGGAUAACGUAGCGAAAGCUACGCUAAUACCGCAUAACACCUGAGGGUGAAAGCGGGGGAUCGCAAGACCUCGCGCGUUUCGAGCGGCCCAUGGCAGAUUAGGUAGCUGGUGGGGUAAAGGCCUACCAAGCCUGCGAUCUGUAGCUGGUCUGAGAGGACGACCAGCCACACUGGGACUGAGACACGGCCCAGACUCCUACGGGAGGCAGCAGUGGGGAAUUGUGGACAAUGGGCGCAAGCCUGAUCCAGCCAUACCGCGUGCGGGAAGAAGGCCUUCGGGUUGUAAACCGCUUUUGUCAGGGAAGAAAUCUUCUGGGCUAAUACCUCGGGAGGAUGACGGUACCUGAAGAAUAAGCACCGGCUAACUACGUGCCAGCAGCCGCCGUAAAAC